CACUGUUGUGGCACAAGUUCAGUCCCUGACCCUGCAACUUGUGUAUGCCACACACACACACAAAAAGGACAAAAUACAUGAAAUCAAUUGAAAUUUUUAUUUUUACUUCUUUUUAUAGGCAAGUGUAUAAUUAAUACCUACGCCGAUAACAUUUAUAAAACUGCUGAGAGAGAAGGUAAUUUAGUCCUGCCGCCAACUUGUGAGUGCCUCUGUGCAGGUUAAGAGCAGUUGUAUGUAGGAUGCUAGGUGGUUGGAAAAGGAGGACUGGGGCUCAGGAACUGUCACAGAAUGUUCUAGAUGACCAGGUUUGCUCUGGGGGGAUCUUCACAUUCAUUUCAGAAAUCCACUGGCUUCUAAGUUGUUGGAAUUCCUGUGGAACUGAUUUCCAUCACAAAUGAUGGUAUUAAAACCCUGAUCUGGCCUCUUUGGCUCAUUUUUUUCCCCUUCUGAUUUGGUUCCUCUUGAUGUUUACAAAACUAAAUGCAGAUCUGCUUCAGCCUGGUGAAAAAGCCCCUGUUUUGCUUCCUGACUUCCGGAAGGAUGUAGAGUAAGUCAUGACCUCCCAAAUGAAGGAGGUGCUGAAAUGCGAUGUGUGUACAGAAUCCCCAGGGCUGAGCGUGCUGGUGAAUGCCUUGAAUGAAAAGCCAUCAUCCAAGACACCACUGCAUUUAUUCAAUGUCACCUGUAUGCCAGAUAGUUGGCUAAACACUAAAGGUAUGGAGAUUGUAAAGACGAAGACACCGUCCCUGCCCCCAGGUUCCUCUGGUCUCAUAGAAAUUGUCAUAGUUCUGCACGGAGCCAAGUAUCCAAGACUAAAUUAGCCUGUAGCUCCAUUUACUUGGAGAACAUCUGUGGGUCUUUAAGCUCAGAACAUGAUGGCUGUGAUUAAACAGCUCUUUGGAGUAAACAAGUAACCAUUCCUUACCCCUGAAAAACAUCUCGGUAACUUGUUUGGAUAGAAUAAUCAUUUAUAGUUAUAGAAGUAAUAUUUCUGUCUUUCCUAUUGUGUAAUUGAGCAAACAAAAAAUGGAUUCUUAUAGAAAAGGUUAUGGUGUGUCACUAUUUUUAUCGUUUUAUGUGUAAAUGAUAGUUCAGUGCAACUGCCUCAGCUUCUUUCUGGAAGUCGAUGGAUUAUAAACUACUAAUAAACUCCAGCAUGUGUCUGUUCCAUUCUUCAUGCCUUCUUGUCAGUUUUGAAGAUGUGGAGUGAUGUUUCUGGUCAAUUCUGUUCCUGUACUUCACAUAACUAUACCCAACAUUGGAUUGUAUUUGUAAAAUCAGUGUCUUUGCAUUGGGUUUGUAUUAUUUCAGUAUUGGAUGAGUUUCUUUGUGUUUGGGGUAAAUCUCGUUUUCCAUCACUGUCAUAAUUUUUUCUUCAUGAAAAAACAAAAUUAUUUGACAGUGACUUUUAGUCACUGUUCAUUGUUGCUGGAUGAGCUCCCUUCAAAUUUUGAAACCUCCAUAGGGUCUUAUAAGCCUCUAAUGCAGUCUAGUGUAGCCACCAAGUCAUGAGUUUUGUUCUGUCUGCAGUGUGUGAAAUGCAAAGAAAAGUCUGACUUAAUUGAAUUGUUUCUGUCAACGGAAUGAAUAAGGAGAAUGUAGUGUAUGACUCAGAUAUACAUUAUUAUCAAGUGGUCUCAUUUAAUUGCAUUUGUUUUUGCAACAAGAAAUGAGCAAUAGAGUGUGGGAUGAAUGGUUCAUGCUUCUUAUUGCUGUGUUAGGUGAAAUGUGGCCAGAGGUUGCACCGUACCACAAAGUGCAGAAGGGCAAAUCAGACUCAGCACUGUUUUUCAGCAUCUGUAGUUACAUACGUAGCCAUGGCAUCAUGCCUGUAAGUUUGCAUAUUGAAGUGGCUGCUUCCCCAUCCUGAAAGAGUAAAGAUAGUCAGCAGCGUCUACCUGCAUUCAACAUGACCUUCAAAAACACCCACCUGUUUCCCAGCAGGCAUACUUCCUCCAUUCCGUGUUUCUUUCUGCCCACUGCUCUUGCUCCCUAGAGUUCAUGGCUGGGGUCCCAUCUCCUGCAGGAUGUGAAGCAGAGGAGACCCAGACCUGUUCCCACUAGGACGGCUGCACUGACCUGCCCCUUCCCUGCUCCCUGAUGUUUCAGCUUCAGGCUUGGGUCCCCAUAGUCAUUUGUGUCACUUUUUUUCCCCUUAAUGGUUAAAUAAUUGUCUCUUGGUACAUGGUAAGGGUAAGUGGAAAACUCUGAAGAGUGAAUAAUUAUGAAAUUAUGCAGAAAGCAGAAUUCCUAAGGAGUCUGGGUUUAGGUCAAUUUCCUUUUAUUGUUUAAGAUGAUAACCUUUUAAAAUACCUUUCCAGUGGGCUUGUUGGGCCUCACUUUGCAUUUUUCCGGAGUGCACUGAAGCCCCAGUGGUUCACAGCUGGAAGUUCCCUGCAGCACCCUCCAGCCAUCCCCAUUACCUUCAUCAUAAAGUCCAAACCCUUGGAAUCGGAGGAGGCAUUGCCCUCGGCCUGUUUGUCUUAUUUUCAACUGCCUGCCUUCCUAGUUCCCCUGUCUGACUGGACAGGGGAACUCUCAGUUUUUUGGCCUCUGCAGUUUUGCACAUGCUGUGCCCCAGCCAGGAGUGUUCUCUGCUUCCCCACCUCCUGCCCGUCUCUCCCCCCCCCCCCCACUAAUCAUGCAGGUUCUCUCCAUUCCUCAAAAUCUUGAUCCUGUGAGGUUUUCCACCACCACUCCUCCCAGAGCACCUUCUCCCAUCUCCGAGUCCUUCUAACACUACCUUGUUUAUUGGGUUAUCAAUCAUCUGUAGUGUGCUGAUACUUGAAAACUGAAUUGGUCUCUUUUAAUUGCAUGUGUUUGCAUAUUGUCUCCUCCAAAGGAUGAUGAGCCUCUUGCACGUAGGUGCCAUGUCCUCGGAUCUCUGUAUUUAUUCUUAGUGUGUUCUUAGUGCGUGGCACAGCGGCUGGCCCGGCCCAUGGGGGAGUCAGGAAAUGUUGAUUGAAAAAAUUACGUAACAUUUCGGAGCCUGGGAAUAUGGUGGUUCCUCUGAUAGUAACAAAGAGACUGACAUCGCGGUUGGCUGCUUUUGUGAGGACAGCUAGUUCAGCUUUUGACAUAGUUUCAAGUGAUACAUACAUGAAGUCUCCCUAGAGGCGGGGGACUGUUUAUAAAUGCAGACUUGAAAGUGAGUUCAAAACUGUGCUUUAGGCCUUAAUAGGAGAGAACUUUUCUGAAGAGAAACUGGGGGGGGGCGGGGAGGAGGAGUUCAAAGUUCCCUAGAAUUAGGGACCCGGAAAAGGAAAAAGUCGUAGAAAAGCUGCGUUAUUCACUUAAUAUCAUGGUCAGUACAGAGCACAAGGUGUCUGUCCCCUGCAGGAGGGUGUUGACUUGAACAAAUGCAAGUGGGAAGAAAACGGAAGCAAAAGGGAAAAUUAAACCUAGGUUUGCCUAAUGCCGACUUUGUGAGCUUCGAUCAUUUUUCCAAACUUCACUUUAAAUGAGGAAUUUCAACUGAAAAAGCUCUCCAUUAUUUGGAAUAAUCAUAAAAGUCAUUAGUUAUGAGAUGGCAUUAUGUCCUCCUCAUUUAAUGCAACUUUCAUAAAUAAUAUUGGAUAAAACAUUUAAGGGCUGUGACUUAAAAGUUACAGUAUUCCUGGCAGCUAUAUUAGAAUCAAUUUUAACUGUCAGGUUAAGGAGCAGAAAGAUCUCAUAAAGUAGAAAAUUUUAGGUGAAACACUGAAUUACCCAAGAGUUACCCUGUAAUCUUUAUCAUAUAUGAUUUUGAACCAGUCACAUUCUUAAGUUACCAUAACAGUAUUCUGUGGCCAGAUUUUCAAAUAAGCUAUUUGUGAUUCAGGUUCUGUGAUUGAUUCAUUAAGAAGACUCAGCAUAUAGUCAUACUUGCGGCCAAGAUUUAUCGUAGCAAAAAGACAUGAAGCUAAAUCAGGCCUUUCUAAAGGCACAGCACGCACAGGCCUGCCACGUUAACUCUUCUGCACAGGUAGAUUGAAAGGAUGAGAUUGAGACACGAAGUUGCAAGAUUCACCGAUUUGUUACUACAAAAAUGGCAGUUGUGUGCAGUUCAACCUCUAGUUCUGUCUUCUGGUUUAUUCUCCUAAGGCUGUGUGUGUAGCCCCGGGGGCUGUUUUCUACAAAGUCCUACCCAUACAGAGCUGGGGGUCGAAGCCUCAAGGUGUACUAUUUCCCAGCCCACAUGCCAUAUUUUAUUUAAAAUAGUGACAGAAAAACAUUAUUUUUAGUAGAUGUCAAGACCACCUAUCAUUCAGUGAGUUUAAACUCAGCAUGGUCCCUGAGAUUGUAGCCAUAAAUAUCCUCCAAGAGUAAGCCUUUUUACUAAAUUAAGCAUUUGUUGGACCAGUUACCUCGAUGGUUGAGAGGAGAUGCUUCAGUCAGACCAUACAGCCAAAAAUAGAAACAGAGCAGUGAGAACGCCAUGAAGCUGAGGGGAGGGUUUUGCAAAGAAUGCAAUAAAUCUUAGAGGAUGUGCGUUAUAGAGAUACAUUUGUGGCACUUCCUGAGGCUGCAGGAUUUUUACUCAAAAGUUCCAAGUGUCCGCUGCCUCCCUAUUCUGUUGCAGAGUGAUUUAGAGACAGUCCCAGACCACAAGGGUGCUUCUCUCCAUCCAUCCUCUUGUCUUUCACACUCUCACAUGUGACACUAAUGGAAUAAAGCUUUCAAGCCAGCAGGAAGAUCAAUAAAAAUUUUAUAAGGCUAGCAAAGACUGACUGAGCAUCAUAGUAUAUGGCUCAAUUUUCUUUAAAAAAAAAAA